rnacentral:rRNA from 1 species
UACGAAGGGGGCUAGCGUUGUUCGGAAUUACUGGGCGUAAAGCGCGCGCAGGCGGCUAUCCAAGUCAGAGGUGAAAGCCCGGAGCUCAACUCCGGAACUGCCAUUGAAACUGUUUAGCUUGAGGACGAGAGAGGUGAGUGGAAUUCCCAGUGUAGAGGUGAAAUUCGUAGAUAUUGGGAAGAACACCGGUGGCGAAGGCGGCUCACUGGCUCGUUUCUGACGCUCAGGCGCGAUAGCGUGGGGAUCAAACAGG